GUGCUUGCCCUGGCAUCACAUAAUCUGAAAUUACAACAAAACAGAAAAGAUUAGCUUGGCCCCUGUGCAAAACCCGAUUUUCUUCUUUCAUGUAAUGUCUGAAAGUAAU
ensembl:snRNA U6 U6 spliceosomal RNA